UGACUGGUGACAUAAUGGUUAAGCACUUGGCUGCUAACCAGAAGGUUGGGGGUUCAAACUCCCCUGGUGAA
rnacentral:tRNA from 1 species